UGGGUAACCUGCCUCAAAGAGGGGAAUAGCCUCCCGAAAGGGAGAUUAAUACCGCAUAUUAUGUUUAGGUCGCAUGACUUUAACAUCAAAGGAUUUUCUUUUAGAAAUUCCACUUUGAGAUGGACCCGCGGCGCAUUAGCUAGUUGGUGAGGUAACGGCUCACCAAGGCAACGAUGCGUAGCCGACCUGAGAGGGUGAUCGGCCACAUUGGAACUGAGACACGGUCCAGACUCCGUAGGGAGG
rnacentral:rRNA from 1 species